rnacentral:tRNA from 1 species
GCGAGUGUGGUGGAAUGGUAGACACGCCAUCUUGAGGGGGUGGUGGACGAAGUCCGUAUGGGUUCAAAUCCCAUUACUCGCACCA